CUGUGAGCUCGAUGAGUAGGGCGGGACACGUGGUAUCCUGUCUGAAUAUGGGGGGACCAUCCUCCAAGGCUAAAUACUCCUGACUGACCGAUAGUGAACCAGUACCGUGAGGGAAAGGCGAAAAGAACCCCGGCGAGGGGAGUGAAAAAGAACCUGAAACCGUGUACGUACAAGCAGUGGGAGCACAGAGCAAUCUGUGUGACUGCGUACCUUUUGUAUAAUGGGUCAGCGACUUAUAUUCUGUAGCAAGGUUAACCGAAUAGGGGAGCCGAAGGGAAACCGAGUCUUAACUGGGCGUUAAGUUGCAGGGUAUAGACCCGAAACCCGGUGAUCUAGCCAUGGGCAGGUUGAAGGUUGGGUAACACUAACUGGAGGACCGAACCGACUAAUGUUGAAAAAUUAGCGGAUGACUUGUGGCUGGGGGUGAAAGGCCAAUCAAACCGGGAGAUAGCUGGUUCUCCCCGAAAGCUAUUUAGGUAGCGCCUCGUGAAUUCAUCUCCGGGGGUAGAGCACUGUUUCGGCAAGGGGGUCAUCCCGACUUACCAACCCGAUGCAAACUGCGAAUACCGGAGAAUGUUAUCACGGGAGACACACGGCGGGUGCUAACGUCCGUCGUGAAGAGGGAAACAACCCAGACCGCCAGCUAAGGUCCCAAAGUCAUGGUUAAGUGGGAAACGAUGUGGGAAGGCCCAGACAGCCAGGAUGUUGGCUUAGAAGCAGCCAUCAUUUAAAGAAAGCGUAAUAGCUCACUGGUCGAGUCGGCCUGCGCGGAAGAUGUAACGGGGCUAAACCAUGCACCGAAGCUGCGGCAGCGACGCUUAUGCGUUGUUGGGUAGGGGAGCGUUCUGUAAGCCUGCGAAGGUGUGCUGUGAGGCAUGCUGGAGGUAUCAGAAGUGCGAAUGCUGACAUAAGUAACGAUAAAGCGGGUGAAAAGCCCGCUCGCCGGAAGACCAAGGGUUCCUGUCCAACGUUAAUCGGGGCAGGGUGAGUCGACCCCUAAGGCGAGGCCGAAAGGCGUAGUCGAUGGGAAACAGGUUAAUAUUCCUGUACUUGGUGUUACUGCGAAGGGGGGACGGAGAAGGCUAUGUUGGCCGGGCGACGGUUGUCCCGGUUUAAGCGUGUAGGCUGGUUUUCCAGGCAAAUCCGGAAAAUCAAGGCUGAGGCGUGAUGACGAGGCACUACGGUGCUGAAGCAACAAAUGCCCUGCUUCCAGGAAAAGCCUCUAAGCAUCAGGUAACAUCAAAUCGUACCCCAAACCGACACAGGUGGUCAGGUAGAGAAUACCAAGGCGCUUGAGAGAACUCGGGUGAAGGAACUAGGCAAAAUGGUGCCGUAACUUCGGGAGAAGGCACGCUGAUAUGUAGGUGAAGUCCCUCGCGGAUGGAGCUGAAAUCAGUCGAAGAUACCAGCUGGCUGCAACUGUUUAUUAAAAACACAGCACUGUGCAAACACGAAAGUGGACGUAUACGGUGUGACGCCUGCCCGGUGCCGGAAGGUUAAUUGAUGGGGUUAGCGCAAGCGAAGCUCUUGAUCGAAGCCCCGGUAAACGGCGGCCGUAACUAUAACGGUCCUAAGGUAGCGAAAUUCCUUGUCGGGUAAGUUCCGACCUGCACGAAUGGCGUAAUGAUGGCCAGGCUGUCUCCACCCGAGACUCAGUGAAAUUGAACUCGCUGUGAAGAUGCAGUGUACCCGCGGCAAGACGGAAAGACCCCGUGAACCUUUACUAUAGCUUGACACUGAACAUUGAGCCUUGAUGUGUAGGAUAGGUGGGAGGCUUUGAAGUGUGGACGCCAGUCUGCAUGGAGCCGACCUUGAAAUACCACCCUUUAAUGUUUGAUGUUCUAACGUUGACCCGUAAUCCGGGUUGCGGACAGUGUCUGGUGGGUAGUUUGACUGGGGCGGUCUCCUCCUAAAGAGUAACGGAGGAGCACGAAGGUUGGCUAAUCCUGGUCGGACAUCAGGAGGUUAGUGCAAUGGCAUAAGCCAGCUUGACUGCGAGCGUGACGGCGCGAGCAGGUGCGAAAGCAGGUCAUAGUGAUCCGGUGGUUCUGAAUGGAAGGGCCAUCGCUCAACGGAUAAAAGGUACUCCGGGGAUAACAGGCUGAUACCGCCCAAGAGUUCAUAUCGACGGCGGUGUUUGGCACCUCGAUGUCGGCUCAUCACAUCCUGGGGCUGAAGUAGGUCCCAAGGGUAUGGCUGUUCGCCAUUUAAAGUGGUACGCGAGCUGGGUUUAGAACGUCGUGAGACAGUUCGGUCCCUAUCUGCCGUGGGCGCUGGAGAAUUGAGGGGGGCUGCUCCUAGUACGAGAGGACCGGAGUGGACGCAUCACUGGUGUUCGGGUUGUCAUGCCAAUGGCACUGCCCGGUAGCUAAAUGCGGAAGAGAUAAGUGCUGAAAGCAUCUAAGCACGAAACUUGCCCCGAGAUGAGUUCUCCCUGACUCCUUGAGAGUCCUGAAGGAACGUUGAAGACGACGACGUUGAUAGGCCGGGUGUGUAAGCGCAGCGAUGCGUUGAGCUAACCGGUACUAAUGAACCGUGAGGCUUAACCUU
rnacentral:rRNA from 1 species